rnacentral:rRNA from 1 species
GACGAACGCUGGCGGCGUGCUUAACACAUACAAGUCGAGCGGUAAGGCCCUUCGGGGUACACGAGUGGCGAACGGGUGAGUAACACGUGGGUGAUCUGCCCUGCACUUCGGGAUAAGCCUGGGAAACUGGGUCUAAUACCGGAUAGGACCACUGCCUGCAUGGGUGGUGGUGGCAAGCUUUUGCGGUGUGGGAUGGGCCCGCGGCCUACCAGCUUGUUGGUGGGGUGAUGGCCUACCAAGGCGACGACGGGUAGCCGGCCUGAGAGGGUGACCGGCCACACUGGGACUGAGAUACGGCCCAGACUCCUACGGGAGGCAGCAGUGGGGAAUAUUGCACAAUGGGCGCAAGCCUGAUGCAGCGACGCCGCGUGAGGGAUGACGGCCCUCGGGUUGUAAACCUCUUUCAGCACCGACGAAGCGCAAGUGACGGUAGGUGCAGAAGAAGGACCGGCCAACUACGUGCCAGCCGCCGCCGUAA